rnacentral:rRNA from 1 species
AGUAAACGCUGGCGGUAGGCCUAACACAUGCAAGUCGAACGGCAGCACAGUAAGAGCUUGCUCUUACGGGUGGCGAGUGGCGGACGGGCGAGGAAUACAUCGGAAUCUACUUUUUCGUGGGGGAUAACGUAGGGAAACUUACGCUAAUACCGCAUACGACCUACGGGUGAAAGCAGGGGAUCUUCGGACCUUGCGCGAUUGAAUGAGCCGAUGUCGGAUUAGCUAGUUGGCGGGGUAAAGGCCCACCAAGGCGACGAUCCGUAGCUGGUCUGAGAGGAUGAUCAGCCACACUGGAACUGAGACACGGUCCAGACUCCUACGGGAGGCAGCAGUGGGGAAUAUUGGACAAUGGGCGCAAGCCUGAUCCAGCCAUACCGCGUGGGUGAAGAAGGCCUUCGGGUUGUAAAGCCCUUUUGUUGGGAAAGAAAAGCAGCAGGUUAAUACCCCGCUGUUCUGACGGUACCCAAAGAAUAAGCACCGGCUAACUUCGUG